rnacentral:rRNA from 1 species
AUUGAACGCUGGCGGCAGGCUUAACACAUGCAAGUCGAACGAGUGGCGGACGGGUGAGUAAUGCUUGGGAAUCUAGCUUAUGGAGGGGGAUAACUACGGGAAACUGUAGCUAAUACCGCGUACCAUAGGCUGAGCCCAGGUGGGAUUAGGUAGUUGGUGAGGUAAAGGCUCACCAAGCCGACGUUCUCUAGCUGGUCUGAGAGGAUGACCAGCCAAACUGGAAUGGAGACACGGCCCAGACGCCUACGGGAGGAAGCAGUGGGGAAUAUUGCGCAAGGGGGGAAACCUGAGGCAGCCAGGCCGCGUGAAUGAAGAAGGCCUUCGGGUUGUAAAGUUCUUUCAGUAGCGAGGCGUUACCUGCAGAAGAAGCGCCGGCUAACUCCGUGCCAGCAGCCGCGGUAAUUC